CAUGUAGGCGGUUGCUUAAGUCGGACGUGAAAGCUCCUGGCUCAACUGGGAGAGGCCGUUCGAAACUAGGUAACUCGAGGUUGGUAGGGGAGAGUGGAAUUCCCGGUGUAGUGGUGAAAUGCGUAGAUAUCGGGAGGAACACCAGUGGCGAAGGCGGCUCUCUGGACCACACCUGACGCUGAGAUGCGAAAGCUAGGGGAGAGAACG
rnacentral:rRNA from 1 species